rnacentral:rRNA from 1 species
UGUUUAACUUGAGUGCAGGAGAGGAAAGUGGAWUUCCUAGUGUAGCGKUGAAAUGCGUAGAUAUUAGGAGGAAUACCAGKGGCGAAGGCGAYUUUCUGGACUGCAACUGACACUGAGGCACGAAAGCGUGGGGAGCAAACAGGAUUAGAUACCCUGGUAGUCCACGCCGUAAACGAUGAGUACUAGGUGUCGGGUGAARAACUCGGUGCCRAAGUUAACACAUUAAGUACUCCGCCUGGGGAGUACGCUCGCAAGAGUAAAACUCAAAGGAAUUGACGGGGACCCGCACAAGCAGCGGAGCAUGUGGUUUAAUUCGAAGCAACGCGAARAACCUUACCUAAACUUGACAUACCAAUGACAGCCUUUUAAUCGRGGACUUUUACCUUCGGGUARACAAUGGAUACAGGUGGUGCAUGGUUGUCGUCAGCUCGUGUCGUGAGAUGUUGGGUUAAGUCCCGCAACGAGCGCAACCCUUGUCGAUAGUUACCAGCAGUAAGAUGGGGACUCUAUCGAGACAGCUAAGGACAACUWAGA